UGAAGCGGGAUCCGUUGGGGGUUGGUGUCGACUCGGAGGCAUGUCGGGAUAGGGGUUCGAAAGUAAAAAUAAAAAUAUCUGCGACGGGUAGUAAACUCAAGCUGCUCCUUGGUGCUUGAACCAGUUGUGCGGUACCGUAGAAGGAAAUCUUCUUCCACUUCUUCAAAAGAGAGAGGGAGAAAAAGUGGGAAUACUUAUGGUAAAGGCGGUUAAAAAUGUAUCAAUUCCAACUGAUGAACAGGAAAAAAGCAACCAUAAAACAUACGAUCGGGGAGAGAUAGAAUCCAUGGCAGGAAGCACAGGUUUGAAGAAAACGCAACCGAGAUACAUGCAU
rnacentral:sRNA from 1 species